UAGAACGCUGAGGUUUGGUGUUUACACUAGACUGAUGAGUUGCGAACGGGUGAGUAACGCGUAGGUAACCUGCCUCAUAGCGGGGGAUAACUAUUGGAAACGAUAGCUAAUACCGCAUAAGAGUAAUUAACACAUGUUAGUUAUUUAAAAGGAGCAAUUGCUUCACUGUGAGAUGGACCUGCGUUGUAUUAGCUAGUUGGUGAGGUAAAGGCUCACCAAGGCGACGAUACAUAGCCGACCUGAGAGGGUGAUCGGCCACACUGGGACUGAGACACGGCCCAGACUCCUACGGGAGGCAGCAGUAGGGAAUCUUCGGCAAUGGACGGAAGUCUGACCGAGCAACGCCGCGUGAGUGAAGAAGGUUUUCGGAUCGUAAAGCUCUGUUGUUAGAGAAGAACGUUGGUAGGAGUGGAAAAUCUACCAAGUGACGGUAACUAACCAGAAAGGGACGGCUAACUACGUGCCAGCAGCCGCGGUAAUACGUAGGUCCCGAGCGUUGUCCGGAUUUAUUGGGCGUAAAGCGAGCGCAGGCGGUUCUUUAAGUCUGAAGUUAAAGGCAGUGGCUUAACCAUUGUACGCUUUGGAAACUGGAGGACUUGAGUGCAGAAGGGGAGAGUGGAAUUCCAUGUGUAGCGGUGAAAUGCGUAGAUAUAUGGAGGAACACCGGUGGCGAAAGCGGCUCUCUGGUCUGUAACUGACGCUGAGGCUCGAAAGCGUGGGGAGCAAACAGGAUUAGAUACCCUGGUAGUCCACGCCGUAAACGAUGAGUGCUAGGUGUUAGGCCCUUUCCGGGGCUUAGUGCCGCAGCUAACGCAUUAAGCACUCCGCCUGGGGAGUACGACCGCAAGGUUGAAACUCAAAGGAAUUGACGGGGGCCCGCACAAGCGGUGGAGCAUGUGGUUUAAUUCGAAGCAACGCGAAGAACCUUACCAGGUCUUGACAUCCUUCUGACCGGCCUAGAGAUAGGCUUUCUCUUCGGAGCAGAAGUGACAGGUGGUGCAUGGUUGUCGUCAGCUCGUGUCGUGAGAUGUUGGGGUUAAGUCCCGCAACGAGCGCAACCCCUAUUGUUAGUUGCCAUCAUUAAGUUGGGCACUCUAGCGAGACUGCCGGUAAUAAACCGGAGGAAGGUGGGGAUGACGUCAAAUCAUCAUGCCCCUUAUGACCUGGGCUACACACGUGCUACAAUGGUUGGUACAACGAGUCGCAAGCCGGUGACGGCAAGCUAAUCUCUUAAAGCCAAUCUCAGUUCGGAUUGUAGGCUGCAACUCGCCUACAUGAAGUCGGAAUCGCUAGUAAUCGCGGAUCAGCACGCCGCGGUGAAUACGUUCCCGGGCCUUGUACACACCGCCCGUCACACCACGAGAGUUUGUAACACCCGAAGUCGGUGAGGUAACCUUUAGGAGC
rnacentral:rRNA from 1 species